rnacentral:lncRNA from 1 species
GGGGUACCUGCCCCGGUCGGGUACCGUGGUGCCACGGGUGUUGCCCCCGGCAGAUGCAGCAGAGCUGCAGGGACGCUGCACCUGUGGGGCACGGGCCUCCCCUUCCCUUAGUGGGUGAGGAAAGCACAUCCAGGAAACAACAGCUGAUACACCUAAGAGGGCAGUGGGAGAUGAAGGAAUGCAUGUGGUGAAAGAAUGCUUGGUGACACCGUCUGUCCGUGGGGAGGCACUGAAAUGCCCCCAUCGAGGGCAACAUUAGAGCCGUUUGUCCCAGCAGGUCACUCCUGUUCACGUAUCCCCUCCCUCCCCAAGCUCACGCAGAGUGCCCAGCGCUUGGAGCUCGCAGCCGCCUCCCUGGGCAGCCCUGGCGGAGCAGUGGGCAAGGCCAGGGCGCCCAGACCCUGCCGGCUCAGGGGAACGAGGCCUGAGAGGGCGAGGGUUCCUGUCGCCUGUCACCGCGCUGCCUCGUGCCCCGCCGGCGUCCGGGCCCUGUGGCGGGCGCCUCUCGCCUCUGAGGUGAUGCGGGUUUGGAGGCGGGCCGCCCCCGCCCCCCGGCGCAGCCUGCCCGCCCGCCUGCGCGCCGUGUGCGGGGCGGCCGUGCGCCGAGGCGGCGCGGCGCGGAGCGGAGCGGAGCAUGGGGCGGCCGGCGGCCGGGCAGCAGCUGCGCCCGGGGCCGGGGCCGCCGCUGCGGCUGCUCCUGCUGCUGGGCGUCCUCCUGCUGCGCGGCGGAGCGGCGGCGGGGACGGGGGCCGAGCCGUGCCAGGCGCCGCGGCAGUGGGAAGGGCGCACCGUGUUCUACGAGCAUGGCUCGGGCCGCAACACGCGGGCCGCCGUCUCCUACGACGGCCCCAACCAGCGCCUCCGCAUCCUGGAGGAGAGGAAGGCACUCAUCCCCUGCAAGAAGUUCUUUGA